ensembl:lncRNA
AUCAACAAUAAUAAAGUAAACUCUGCUCGUACGUUACAAAAAACAUGAAUCGCUUUUGGACCAUCCAUGGGUUUCAGGACGAUGAAAAAUCUGGACUGUUGCCAUAGCAAAUAUCAAUUUAAAAAUAAAUAUUAUACCUUUUCGAUGGGGAAAGUCUUAGUUUCUUAACCGUGACUAAACAAGGCCUGAACCAACUGGACUAAACCCAAUAUAAACCAGCGCCAAAUGAAAACAAAUCCUGUCCUUAAAUCAAAUUCGGACCAAGACUGAACCAGGUCUAAACGAGGACUAAACCAGGUCUAAAUUAGGACUAAACCAGGUCUAAAUGAGCCCUGAACCAACUGGACUAAACCCAAUAUAAACCAGCGUCAAAUGAAAAGAAGUCCUGUGCUUGCAUCAGAUCCGGACCAAGACUUGAAUCAGCUCUAAACGAGGACUGAACCAGGUCUAAACGAGGCCUCAAUCCAGGACUAAGCCAGAUCUCAACCAGGACUUGUUCCAGCUAAAGCACUGAAGAAGCCCACUAAGAAAUACUGCAAAAUCAUUUCCUCCAAACAUUUCAUUUUUCACACAUUUUACUUCUGGAGUUUGUUCUUUGAUCGACUGCCC